CAGCAGCCACGGGAAUACGUAGGGUGCAAGCGUUAAUCGGAAUUACUGGGCGUAAAGCGUGCGCAGGCGGUUAUAUAAGACAGAUGUGAAAUCCCCGGGCUCAACCUGGGAACUGCAUUUGUGACUGUAUAGCUAGAGUACGGCAGAGGGGGAUGGAAUUCCGCGUGUAGCAGUGAAAUGCGUAGAUAUGCGGAGGAACACCGAUGGCGAAGGCAAUCCCCUGGGCCUGUACUGACGCUCAUGCACGAAAGCGUGGGGAGCAAACAGGAUUAGAUACCCCUGUAGUCCCUGUAUCUUAUAC
rnacentral:rRNA from 1 species